rnacentral:rRNA from 1 species
UGCAGUCGACGGUGAAGCCAAGCUUGCUUGGUGGAUCAGUGGCGAACGGGUGAGUAACACGUGAGCAACCUGCCCUGAACUCUGGGAUAAGCGCUGGAAACGGCGUCUAAUACUGGAUAUGAGCUGCGGAGGCAUCUUCGUGGUUGGAAAGAUUUUUCGGUUUGGGAUGGGCUCGCGGCCUAUCAGCUUGUUGGUGAGGUAAUGGCUCACCAAGGCGUCGACGGGUAGCCGGCCUGAGAGGGUGACCGGCCACACUGGGACUGAGACACGGCCCAGACUCCUACGGGAGGCAGCAGUGGGGAAUAUUGCACAAUGGGCGGAAGCCUGAUGCAGCAACGCCGCGUGAGGGAUGACGGCCUUCGGGUUGUAAACCUCUUUUAGCAGGGAAGAAGCGAAAGUGACGGUACCUGCAGAAAAAGCGCCGGCUAACUACGUGCCAGCAGCCGCGGUAAUACGUAGGGCGCAAGCGUUAUCCGGAAUUAUUGGGCGUAAAGAGCUCGUAGGCGGUUUGUCGCGUCUGCUGUGAAAACCCGAGGCUCAACCUCGGGCCUGCAGUGGGUACGGGCAGACUAGAGUGCGGUAGGGGAGAUUGGAAUUCCUGGUGUAGCGGUGGAAUGCGCAGAUAUCAGGAGGAACACCGAUGGCGAAGGCAGAUCUCUGGGCCGUAACUGACGCUGAGGAGCGAAAGGGUGGGGAGCAAACAGGCUUAGAUACCCUGGUAGUCCACCCCGUAAACGUUGGGAACUAGUUGUGGGGUCCAUUCCACGGAUUCCGUGACGCAGCUAACGCAUUAAGUUCCCCGCCUGGGGAGUACGGCCGCAAGGCUAAAACUCAAAGGAAUUGACGGGGACCCGCACAAGCGGCGGAGCAUGCGGAUUAAUUCGAUGCAACGCGAAGAACCUUACCAAGGCUUGACAUACACGAGAACGCUGCAGAAAUGUAGAACUCUUUGGACACUCGUGAACAGGUGGUGCAUGGUUGUCGUCAGCUCGUGUCGUGAGAUGUUGGGUUAAGUCCCGCAACGAGCGCAACCCUCGUUCUAUGUUGCCAGCACGUAAUGGUGGGAACUCAUGGGAUACUGCCGGGGUCAACUCGGAGGAAGGUGGGGAUGACGUCAAAUCAUCAUGCCCCUUAUGUCUUGGGCUUCACGCAUGCUACAAUGGCCGGUACAAAGGGCUGCAAUACCGCGAGGUGGAGCGAAUCCCAAAAAGCCGGUCCCAGUUCGGAUUGAGGUCUGCAACUCGACCUCAUGAAGUCGGAGUCGCUAGUAAUCGCAGAUCAGCAACGCUGCGGUGAAUACGUUCCCGGGUCUUGUACACACCGCCCGUCAAGUCAUGAAAGUCGGUAACACCUGAAGCCGGUGGCCCAACCCUUGUGGAGGGAGCCGUCGAAGGUGGGAUCGGUAAUUAGGACUAAGUCGUAA